AUUGAACGCUGGCGGCAUGCCUUACACAUGCAAGUCGAACGGUAACGCGGGGCAACCUGGCGACGAGUGGCGAACGGGUGAGUAACGCAUCGGAACGUGCCCAGUAGUGGGGGAUAGCCCGGCGAAAGCCGGAUUAAUACCGCAUACGACCUACGGGUGAAAGGGGGGGAUCGCAAGACCUCUCGCUAUUGGAGCGGCCGAUGUCAGAUUAGGUAGUUGGUGGGGUAAAGGCCUACCAAGCCGACGAUCUGUAGCUGGUCUGAGAGGACGACCAGCCACACUGGGACUGAGACACGGCCCAGACUCCUACGGGAGGCAGCAGUGGGGAAUUUUGGACAAUGGGCGAAAGCCUGAUCCAGCCAUGCCGCGUGCGGGAAGAAGGCCUUCGGGUUGUAAACCGCUUUUGUCAGGGAAGAAAUCUUCUGGGUUAAUACCUCGGGAGGAUGACGGUACCUGAAGAAUAAGCACCGGCUAACUACGUGCCAGCAGCCGCCGCAG
rnacentral:rRNA from 1 species